rnacentral:rRNA from 1 species
GACAGAGGGUGCAAACGUUGUUCGGAAUUACUGGGCGUAAAGAGCGCGCAGGCGGUCGUGCAAGUCGCGUGUGAAAGCCCCCGGCUCAACUGGGGAGGGUCACGCGAUACUGUUCGACUCGAAGGCAGGAGAGGGAAGCGGAAUUCCCGGUGUAGUGGUGAAAUGCGUAGAUAUCGGGAGGAACACCAGUGGCGAAGGCGGCUUCCUGGCCUGUUCUUGACGCUGAGGCGCGAAAGCUAGGGUAGCAAACGGG